CCCGGUCCGGCUCCUCCCCCCCGAGCCGGGCCGUGGAUAGACGACCCCCGCUCUCCCCCCCCGGCGGGGGUCGUCGCAU
rfam:Kitasatospora setae KM-6054 DNA, complete genome.